rfam:TPA: Bos taurus chromosome 1, whole genome shotgun sequence.
UCCCAGGUGGUCCAGUCCUUAAGACUCUGCACUUCCACGGCAGGGGCACAGGUUCAAUCCCUGAUCAGGGGA